rnacentral:rRNA from 1 species
AUUGAACGCUGGCGGCAUGCUUUACACAUGCAAGUCGAGCGAGUGGCGAACGGGUGAGUAACGUAUCGGAACGUACCGGAUAGAGGGGGAUAACUAUUGGAAAGGGUGGCUAAUAACGCAUACUAUCGGAGCGGCCCAUGUGGGAUUAGCUGGUGGGCGGGGUAAAGGCGCACCCAGGCGACGAUCAGUAGCUGGUCUGAGAGGAUGAUCCGCCACACUGGGACUGAGACACGGCCCAGACUCCUACGGGAGGCAGCAGUGGGGAAUUUUGGACAAUGGGCGCAAGCCUGAUCCAGCCAUGCCGCGUGUCUGAAGAAGGCCUUCGGGUUGUAAAGUACUUUUGUCAGGGAAGCGGUACCUGAAGAAUAAGCACCGGCUAACUACGUGCCAGCAGCCGCGGUAAUUC